CAAAUACUUUCUCCAUUUCAAAAAUUUUGUCUUAGAUUUGUCUAAAUACGGAUGUAUCUAGUUACAUUUUAGUGUUAGAUACAUCCGUAUUACAUCCGUAUCUAGACAAAUUUGAGACAAGAAUUUUGGGACGGAGGGUGUAUUUG
rfam:Triticum aestivum genome assembly, contig: Triticum_aestivum_CS42_TGACv1_scaffold_305887_4AL